rnacentral:rRNA from 1 species
UACGUAGGGUCCGAGCGUUGUCCGGAUUUAUUGGGCGUAAAGAGCGUGUAGGCGGCCAGGUAGGUCUGCUGUGAAAACUCGAGGCUCAACCUCGAGACGCCGGCGGAAACCAUCUGGCUAGAGUCCGGAAGAGGAGAGUGGAAUUCCUAGUGUAGAGGUGAAAUUCGUAGAUAUUAGGAAGAACACCAGUGGCGAAGGCGGCUCACUGGCCCGGUACUGACGCUGAGGCGCCGAAAGCGUGG